AGCUAGUCUGAAGGUAAUGAGUUACCUCAAUUGAUGGUUAGGUCAGUUACAGAUCAAACUCCUGUCCUCCUCUUUCUCCCCUUUCACUACUGUACUUGACUAAUCCUAA
rnacentral:Y_RNA from 1 species